AAAUGAAGGAAGCAUGGUUAUGUGCACAGAAAUUAAAAUAGAGUCGACAUGUCUGCUCCCUCUGAUUUCUCUAUGAUUUGGGGGCCUGGUUUAGACUCAAAUCC